AGCCCGCGUUUUGCACGUUCGGAUAUUUCGAGAUCGUCGUGACAAGUUAAGGCAAGACCAUUUUUUUUAAAAAUUAUUUUAAGGUACAAGUUGUUAGGAAUGUUAUUUAUGAACAUUGGUAGUAUGGAAAUAUUUGGAAAGGCCAUGGUAAACAGAGAAAUUUGCAAAAUGACCGAUGGAAAUAAUGUGGAAGGUUAAGGGCGAAGUGGUAAUAUUGAGAAAAGUCGAAGAGCAAAAAGGUAAUUUACACAAGGUUCAUGAAAGUUCCAAAGAGGCCAUAUUGGCCAUGUGAUAAAAAAAAAAAAAAAAAAAAAAGAAAGAUGACCAAAAAUAAAGCCAUCUUUUUCCUAGAAAUUGAAGGAGAAUUCUAGAGAGAGGCAUGUGCCUCUCACAUGAUUGUGGAAGUAUAUAUAUAAGAGAGGGGCGGUCAUCCUUAGAAAAGAAAGAAGAUGAAGAACAAAAAAAAAAAAAGGAAAAGCAAGCAUAUUCGGCCAAAAAUUAUUUUCUUCUUGUAUUCCUACCAAUUCAAGGGCCCUCUACAACGUGGUGUAAUUAUUUCGAAAGAUAAGUCGUUCGUUUCAUCAAGUUAACACUUGAGCCAAGUGAAGAAGUUGGGAGAAAAAGAUUCCGGGCGAAACGGGAAUUGAAUCUGGACGAGCGUAAAGCGCAACUCAGGUACUCCCAGAUGAGCUGAAGUUAUUAUAGAAGAUGUUCCAGCGGAGAUGGCAAGCCCCAUUCUCCCGGAAGGCUGCCAAGUCAGAGUUUGUUUGUUAUGAUUUCUGGGUUUGUGUUAGAGACUUUGCAGACAGCGUCGUGGGUAUUGUUAGUCAGUCUGUAAGCGGCUCCGUCAGUCGAUAUGUCGGUCUGUGUUAUGUACUGAAUUAUGUAUGAUUAUAGAUUUGUUCGGCUUGGAAGCUACG